rnacentral:rRNA from 1 species
GACGUAGGGGGUGAGCGUUAUCCGGAUUCACUGGGCGUAAAGCGCAUGUAGGCGGUUGGACAAGUCGUGUGUUAAAGCCCCUGGCUCAACUGGGGGAGGUCAUGCGAGACUGUGCGACUUGAGGGCAAGAGAGGCACGUGGAACUCCCGGUGUAGCGGUGGAAUGCGUAGAGAUCGGGAAGAACACCAGUGGCGAAGGCGACGUGCUGGGUUGCACCUGACGCUGAGAUGCGAAAGUGUGGGGAGCAAACGGG